rnacentral:rRNA from 1 species
GACGAACGCUGGCGGCGUGCUUAACACAUGCAAGUCGAACGGUAAGGCCCUUUCGGGGGUACACGAGUGGCGAACGGGUGAGUAACACGUGGGUAAUCUGCCCUGCACUUCGGGAUAAGCCUGGGAAACCGGGUCUAAUACCGGAUAUGAAUCCCGGCCGCAUGGUCUGGGGUUGGAAAGUUUUUCGGUGCAGGAUGAGCCCGCGGCCUAUCAGCUUGUUGGUGGGGUAAUGGCCUACCAGGGCGACGACGGGUAGCCGGCCUGAGAGGGUGAUCGGCCACACUGGGACUGAGACACGGCCCAGACUCCUACGGGAGGCAGCAGUGGGGAAUAUUGCACAAUGGGCGGAAGCCUGAUGCAGCGACGCCGCGUGGGGGAUGACGGUCUUCGGAUUGUAAACCCCUUUCAGUAGGGACGAAGCGCAAGUGACGGUACCUGCAGAAGAAGCACCGGCCAACUACGUGCCAGCAGCCGCCGUAA